CCAUCUACAUCGUCUGUCUGCUAAGUACCGAAACGUGACCUAUUUCGAAUAUGACUGUUUUGCCGAUUGAAAAUUCGCAUGCUAUACGACGUGUUUCGGUAUUUAUAGAUCCAACAUUCAUGUAUUUAGUUAUUAUGUUUCUUUUCUAAGUACGGUUAGAUAUUGUGUUUUAUUAUACUUCAUGUCAAAAUUCCAGAUUUUGAUUGGUUGAUAACAGGGAGACAAUUUACUCUAUCUCAUGGCAAACACUCUAUUACCCUUCACAGAGACGCUUGAUCGAGUGUGCGCUUUAAUAAAUACGGAUGAUUGGUAUUGAUUUUUCACAAGACGUCACAGCUUAUUUCUUUGAAUUUGAAAUUUAAUAGACAGCAAUAACAGAACAUUCAGUAUAAUAAAUUAAAUAACACAUAUCUGAGAGAGUGAUAGAGCAGAUUGUUACUCCUCGAAAAGACAUUGUCAAUCUUGGCUUGAAAUUUUAAGACUGCGAUUUUUUUUUUGGGGGGGGGGGUAUAAUGCAUAAACAGAGCAUGACUUGCAAAUAAGUGUGAUUUUGUUAUACCCCGCACAAUUCUGAAUUUGAGAAGGUUAUAUUAGCUAACUAUUUCAUUUAACAAAGAUGUAACUUAAUAGAAAACCGGAUUUCCAUUUUAAACCGAAUGUGAAUAUAUGUCAGCUGUGCUAAGGUUCUAAAUUUUGAUCGAAACAUUUAUCAAGUGCGUCAUUAAAUAAAUAAAAAACCUGCGAUGCACUUUCAACAAGGACGGGUAUAUGAUACUGAUCGCGUGAUUAUAUAAGAAAACAAAAUAUCACUUUACA
rnacentral:lncRNA from 1 species